CCAGGACUACAUAUCCCACAGUUCAUAGGGUUGUGUUAAAUUUGAAAAGCUUCACCAGGGUGUUCAGGUCGCAAACGAGCUGUGGACAUGCACGGGACAGGUGACGCGCGCCAGGAGAGCUGUUAAGACGCACGACGUGAAGAACAGGACAGGACACGCACCCUUGACAGCACGACAGACAUGUCAGACUCCGAGACCGCCGCCGCCGCCCCCGCCGAGGCCCCCGUCCCUGCUGCUUGUGCCAGCAUCAAGGCUGACCUGGACAAAUGUGUGGCAGAGAAGGGAGCCGAGGGCUGCAAAGAUCUGAUGGAGGCCUUUGCUGCCUGUGUGAAGAGUGCAGCUGAGGGGACGUCAUGAGGAAGCGCCCUCUAACCUCAAAUGUCCACUGCACUGAGUCCUCCAAGUUCCCAGCAUUCCCUUCUGCACGACAGCUCUGGACUGGGUGAUGACAACAACGAUGAUGAUGAUGAUGAUGGCGUGACAAACAUUGUGUUGAUUCGGGCUGAAUUUUGGAUCUGGCGGCAGUAAUCACAGUUUCCUCCCCCCUGUGUUCCCCUCUGGUUUAGGCUUAUUUGGUGUCCCUCAGUCCCCCCCUCCCCCCUUCUCCUACGGCUGGCGUACAGCACAUCGACUUGUAGACAGUUCCAGAGAGCUGAUGGGCUGUGAUGUAAAUUGUCAACUUGAGAUGAAUACUUAUAAAUGGAAAUAAAAGUAUCGAAUACUUGGUAUAAAAA